rnacentral:rRNA from 1 species
CCUACGGGUGGCAGCAGUGAGGAAUAUUGGUCAAUGGACGAGAGUCUGAACCAGCCAAGUAGCGUGAAGGAUGACUGCCCUAUGGGUUGUAAACUUCUUUUAUAAAGGAAUAAAACGAGGCACGUGUGCCUUUUUGCAUGUACUUUAUGAAUAAGGAUCGGCUAACUCCGUGCCAGCAGCCGCGGUAAUACGGAGGAUCCGAGCGUUAUCCGGAUUUAUUGGGUUUAAAGGGAGCGUAGAUGGGUUGUUAAGUCAGUUGUGAAAGUUUGCGGGUCAACCGUAAAAUUGCAAUUGAUACUGGCAGUCGUGAGUACAGUUGAGGUAAGCGGAAUUCGUGGUGUAGCGGUGAAAUGCUUAGAUAUCACGAAGAACCCCGAUUGCGAAGGCAGCUUACUAAACUGUGACUGACAUUGAUGCUCGAAAGUGUGGGUAUCAAACAGGAUUAGAUACCCUAGUAGUC